CAAACGGCCCUUUUCAGGGCCACCACUACAUUAUUGAAAAGCUAGU
rfam:Daphnia magna strain Xinb3 scaffold01581, whole genome shotgun sequence.